rnacentral:rRNA from 1 species
UACGGGGGGGGGCAAGCGUUGUUCGGAUUUACUGGGCGUAAAGGGCGCGUAGGCGGCUUGACAAGUCACUUGUGAAAUCUCCGGGCUUAACUCGGAACGGCCAAGUGAAACUGUCAUGCUAGAGUGCAGAAGGGGCAAUCGGAAUUCUUGGUGUAGCGGUGAAAUGCGUAGAUAUCAAGAGGAACACCUGAGGUGAAGACGGGUUGCUGGGCUGACACUGACGCUGAGGCGCGAAAGCCAGGGGAGCAAACGGG